AAAUCCACUUUGUAAUGUUUUUGUUUUCUCUAGUUUCUCGUAUCACAUUCAUUUGACGGGUAACUAAAGGUAUGGAGCCAGCACAGAGCAAGUCCAAAAUGUUUAUUUCGGAGUUGGAAGUGUCCUACAAAGUCUUAUACUGCAGAUAGUAAACGGUAUUGCGGUUCUGUUAAUUGGCAAUUUCAGUUUUCCAAUAAGGAUGGGAGUCUAUUGGCUGUGACGGCAAAGAAUUAUAGAAUUAAAAUCUUAGCAGCCAGAGAUGGUAUGCACGAGUUGGGGUAGAUUGAAGUGUUGGAGAACAAAAAUUUUUCGUAAUGGUGAAGAAGAGAGUUCUCCUAUUGAAGAUGGCGCUUCUACGACAAACAACAGUGGAGAAGCAAGAAGACACAAAAAGGACCAGCCCAUCGACCAAACUCGCUUCUUCGCAAUUAGGAAAUCAAGGAGAACCAAGUAGAAGUUGGUUGUGUAUUUUGACUUGUGAUAUUUGUUUGGUAUAUUAGUUUGAACUUUAAAGGAGAUCUUGGUGGGAUGUUUUGACUUGUGCUUUAGUAUUUUAAUUUUAAAUGGUUGAUUUUGUGGAAA